CCUUUGUGACAUACCUACAACUGUUGCUUCGGCGGGUAGGGUCCCCGUGACCCUCCCGGCCUCCCGCCCCCCCGGGCGGGUCGGCGCCCGCCGGAGGAUAACCAAACUCUGAUUUAACGACGUUUCUUCUGAGUGGUACAAGCAAAUAAUCAAAACUUUUAACAACGGAUCUCUUGGUUCUGGCAUCGAUGAAGAACGCAGCGAAAUGCGAUAAGUAAUGUGAAUUGCAGAAUUCAGUGAAUCAUCGAAUCUUUGAACGCACAUUGCGCCCGCCAGCAUUCUGGCGGGCAUGCCUGUUCGAGCGUCAUUUCAACCCUCAAGCCCUGCUUGGUGUUGGGGCCCUACAGCUGAUGUAGGCCCUCAAAGGUAGUGGCGGACCCUCCCGGAGCCUCCUUUGCGUAGUAACUUUACGUCUCGCACUGGGAUCCGGAGGGACUCUUGCCGUAAAACCCCCCAAUUUUCCAAAGGUUGACCUCGGAUCAGGUAGGAAUACCCGCUGAACUUAAGCAUAUCAAAARGSSGGARGGAAA
rnacentral:rRNA from 1 species